GACGAACGCUGGCGGCGUGCCUAAUACAUGCAAGUCGAGCGAAGGAUAGGUUACGAGCCUUCGGGCGAGGGACCUAUUACUUAGCGGCGAACGGGUGAGUAACGCGUGGGCAACCUGCCCCCCAGACUGGGAUAACAGCUCGAAAGGGCUGCUAAUACCGGAUGAGCCUCUGGUGCCGCAUGGUGCUGGAGGGAAAGCGGUUCAGCGCUGGGGGAUGGGCCCGCGUCCCAUUAGCUAGUUGGUGAGGUAACGGCUCACCAAGGCGACGAUGGGUAGCCGGCCUGAGAGGGUGGACGGCCACACUGGGACUGAGACACGGCCCAGACUCCUACGGGAGGCAGCAGUAGGGAAUAUUGCGCAAUGGGGGGAACCCUGACGCAGCGACGCCGCGUGAGCGAAGAAGGCCUUCGGGUCGUAAAGCUCUGUCCUAUGGGAAGAAGGAGACGGUACCAUAGGAGGAAGCCCCGGCUAACUACGUGCCAGCAGCCGCGGUAAUACGUAGGGGGCGAGCGUUGUCCGGAAUUACUGGGCGUAAAGGGUGCGUAGGCGGAUAUGCAAGUCCGAUGUGAAAGACUUCGGCUUAACCGAGGAGCUGCAUUGGAAACUGCAUAUCUAGAGUGCAGGAGAGGGAAGCGGAAUUCCUAGUGUAGCGGUGAAAUGCGUAGAUAUUAGGAGGAACACCAGUGGCGAAGGCGGCUUCCUGGACUGUAACUGACGCUGAGGCACGAAAGCUGGGGGAGCAAACAGGAUUAGAUACCCUGGUAGUCCCAGCCGUAAACGAUGGGUACUAGGUGUUGCUGUCGUUAAGGCGGCAGUGCCGGAGCUAACGCAAUAAGUACCCCGCCUGGGGAGUACGGCCGCAAGGCUGA
rnacentral:rRNA from 1 species